AUCCCCCAAACCAAGGGGGGGAUGAGAACCACCGACCGGGGUUCGACAACUGGCGCAGCCAGUUGGACAGACGACGAGCCUGCGAGGAGACUGCCCGAAGGGCGAGCGCAGCGAGUCAAUCCCCCCCUCACCGCCA
rnacentral:sRNA from 2 species